GGGUAGGCGUAGGCGGCUGAUUAAGUCAGCGGUGAAAGGUAGCAGCUUAACUGUUUUACAUGCCGUUGAUACUGGUUAGCUUGAGUUGACAGAAGGCAGAUAGAAUUCCUGGUGUAGCGGUGAAAUGCUUAGAUACCAGGAGGAAUACCGAUUGCGAAGGCAGUCUGCUGCAGUCACACUGACGCUGAGGCUCGAAGGUGCGGGGAUCAAACAGGAUUAGAUACCCUUGU
rnacentral:rRNA from 1 species